GACGAACGCUGGCGGCGUGCCCUAAUACAUGCAAGUAGAACGCUGAAGGAGGAGCUUGCUUCUCUGGAUGAGUUGCGAACGGGUGAGUAACGCGUAGGUAACCUGCCUGGUAGCGGGGGAUAACUAUUGGAAACGAUAGCUAAUACCGCAUAACAGUAGAUGUUGCAUGACAUUUGCUUAAAGGGUGCAAUUGCAUCACUACCAGAUGGACCUGCGUUGUAUUAGCUAGUUGGUGGGGUAACGGCUCACCAAGGCGACGAUACAUAGCCGACCUGAGAGGGUGAUCGGCCACACUGGGACUGAGACACGGCCCAGACUCCUACGGGAGGCAGCAGUAGGGAAUCUUCGGCAAUGGACGAAAGUCUGACCGAGCAACGCCGCGUGAGUGAAGAAGGUUUUCGGAUCGUAAAGCUCUGUUGUAAGAGAUAGAACGAGUGUGAGAUGUGGAAAUGUUCACACU
rnacentral:rRNA from 1 species